rnacentral:rRNA from 1 species
CCUACGGGGGGCAGCAGUGAGGAAUAUUGGUCAAUGGGCGCGAGCCUGAACCAGCCAAGUCGCGUGAGGGAGGACGGCCCUACGGGUUGUAAACCUCUUUUGCCGGGGAGCAACGGGCGUCACGUGUGGCGCCACUGCGAGUACCCGGCGAAAAAGCAUCGGCUAACUCCGUGCCAGUAGCCGCGGUAAUACGGAGGAUGCGAGCGUUAUCCGGAUUUAUUGGGUUAAAAGGGUGCGUAGGCGGAUCGUUAAGUCAGUGGUCAAAUUGAGGGGCCAAACCCCUUCCCGCCAUUGAAACUGGCGCUCUUGAGUGGAAGAGAAGUAUGCGGAAUGCGUGGUGUAGCGGUGAAAUGCAUAGAUAUCACGCAGAACCCCGAUUGCGAAGGCAGCAUGCCGGCUUCCGACUGACGCUGAAGCACGAAAGCGUGGGGAGCGAACAGGAUUAGAUACCCCUGUAGUC